CUUCUCUCCAACAGACUGAACAAGUGAGGCUUAAGAAGUAUGAAACCAGCUGCAAGUAUGUAAUUCUCUGAGUACUGGCACUAGUGAAGGCUCACUUCUUACAGAGUGUGAUUCUACAGUUUACCACGAUGGAAGCUGCCCAACCUCCCUCCUAUCUCAACCUGCUCAGGAGAAACUUGUACAGUGUAUCUUCAGGAGGAGCAACUGUGAGUCUGGUCUCUGGUACCACCAGAGAAACAGGAUGUGGAAGAGAGCAUCAGACUUGAGGUUACACUGUGAUGACUUGCAAGUAAACCUCCCUAAGGAGCAAAUGAGCGCCUGAACAUAACCUACAGGCAAGGAGGAACACAACAAGGCGGUGUGCACCUCCCCUUCAUUCACUUCUCCCCUGCGUUUUAUAGAGAGCUGAUCUGCAUCCCUGUAUAGCACCAACUCUUGGUGCAUUUGCUUAAGUGGAAGGUCUAUGAGCUAAAAGCAGGAGGCCAUCUAACAUUUCUUUUCACUUCCAGAUUUUCUGUGCUUAUUGCUAUUAAUUACAAGGUUUUUGUAAAUAAAAGGGAUGAUGAACUUGGAGGAGCUACA
rnacentral:lncRNA from 1 species